AGCGACUCUAGCCAAGUUGGAGGAGGAGAAGGUGGUAGAGGCGGAGGAAAAGGAGGAUAGAGGGGAAGGGGAUAAGUGGAGGUUACGCGGGGCGAUGUACACGUAAGACCGGGCGAGAAGAGCGCAUGGCGUGCGUGUGCUUGUGCAUAUGCGCGAUUUCGUGUUCAGAGCGGGAUCUCCUCCCUCGUCACGACACAGGAAUGUUUCCGAAAACCUGGACAAGUUUCUCUCCUCCACGCAGUGGAUUUCUGGAUUCUACACACCGUGUUUUUAAAUUUAUUUAAUAACCGCAAGCCACCUCGUCACCGCAAACGAGUAGACCUUCGCAAGUAUAAUCGCGACACACGAUAUUUUCCGUAUCGAAAACGCAUUAUAUCAUACGUGCGCCUUUCUUUCUUCCUUAUUGUUCUUAGUCAAACUAGCAGAGGAAAAAGAGACGCAAAGAAUUGGAAGAGGAGGAUCUCAGUAGAGAGAUCGAAAUUAAUAUUGGAAUUUGAAACGUGAUUAUUAAUCGCGUGGAGAUGGAAUGAUGAAGGACCGCAAGAGCCAAUAUAACUGUAGAUGUUUAUGGGCGUCGACAGGACAUUUUUUUAUCGGCCCCUAUGGUAGUGCGUUUGCUGCGGGCACAGCUGAAGGAAAUGGAAGAAUAUUUUAACGAAAGCACACUACAGUAAUCGCUGUAGGAGGAUCGCCAUAAGAGGCUCGUCUCUUCCGCUUGCACGCUCUUAGAGGGAAACCGAUUAGAAAUACAAAUUUAAAAUACAGAAAAGAGAAAGGAGCUGUAAACGAGAUACAAUGAAGGUACAAUCAUAGAAGGAUAAUGAUAAAAAACAUAAACAUGUUUAUAUUUUACGUCUGAUUCAUUUAUUUGUCGCAUCGCUGCUGGCGAUUUGUUUUUCGAGCUAUGUAAAAUGACUUUUAAUAAAAAAAAAAAAAUAACACAAAGAGAAUAGAAGGAGAACCAAAACCCAAGAAACAACAAGUAAGAUGUGACACUGAAAAAAAUAUUUAAUUAAACUAACAAAAAGGCCCAAACAAGAACAGCAUACGGAAUUUCAUAUUUCAGAUAACCAAGAAUUUUGUUUGUUCUCAUCAAAAUGUCCAUUCUUGUUGAAGCUUUUUAUAUUGUUUUCGUCAAAACAUUUUUCUCAAGAUAUACUUCAUAACGCAUAAAUUAUAUAUUCACGUUACGUUCGUGGUAUUCAUGGUGUUUUACCAAUCUUAUUCUCUAACGUCCCACAGCCUUCUACAGUCUUUUAUCCCUCUAAUAAUUUUAUAGCAUCAUACUGUUUACGAAAUCAUGAAAUUUCUAAUUAAUGAGAUCGAUCGCCGAGCAAGCAAGCGUGUUCCGCGAAAAAGAAGAUAAAAAAGAAUAUAAGCUUAUGGGGGGAAAAAAAAACGAGUUCGAAUAUCGAUUAUGUUGAAAUAGAUUGAAAACAAGCGAAUAGCAUUUAGUCGCAAAGUAGGAUAAUUAGCGAAAUAGUAAAUGUAUUGCUAACCUUGGCAAAUUUUCCAAAAGACCUUCCGUAUCUGCUUUUAACUUUAUUGCACAAAUGGCACUUCGUUUCUACGCACCUAACUUCCACCACAAGAGCCUGAGUCGACCUGUAUUUAUAGGCACCCGAUCAGGAGAGUAGCCAUAGUCACUAUCGUGCUGAAAACUGAACGCAACCCCCGACCGUAUACUUAUCGUUACUUCUGAGCGUUAUCGAAGCGGCGAUGAAACAACUGCGGGGUGGUACACGACUACUAAUCGAAAUCGAUCGAUCGAACCGUUAUUGUAUUAUAGGAUACGCGCGUUUUUCUCGUUGAACUCCUCAUCGAAUCGAUUAUGCACAAUGCGCGCCUACGAAGAAAUCCUCCGUAUUCCGUGGAUCCACGAAGAAGUAGAUUUGAUCUUCCGCACGUUUUACGACUGAUAAUAACGGUUUAUUCAAAAACACAUUAUUAUACGCGUUAUAUUUUCUAUUUUUUUUUUUUUAAAUCAUGCGCAGACGUUCCGUUAUACUCGUUGUGUAAAAACGCGCGAGAAUGUCUCCACUGCUCGUUAUCGAUCGAAUUUCACCGGGAAACGAAAGAUGAAAAACGCGCGUUUCUAAUUGUUUUAUUGUUCAAAUUAUAAAUAACGUAUUGGGCAACUUUCUGAGCUGAUGCGCUCGUUUCGAUAGACUCCAAGGACUUUUAAUGCACUUACGUAACGAUGCAUAAGCAAUGAAUCAUCGUAUCCUUCUGCCUUCCAUUUUCUGCCUUUACAAUAUAAAGGAAAUGGAAAACCGAUAUACUCUCGUCUCUGCUUUCGGCGUGUCAUCGAUUAUCAGGAAUGAAGAAUGACGUGGAGAAAGUUUAAUACACAAAGUUUAAUAUACAAUGUUCUCUCAUCGUUAUUCCAAUUUACAGCAGUUGACAUUUCAAGCUUUUCUGAUUUUUCUCGCAAUCCUCACAGAUUUCUUUAAGCGCGUUGCGACAGUUUUGAAAUUUAAUAUUAAAUAUUAUUAAAUAUUUAACACAUAUCCGAUAAUUGUUUCAACGAUUAAAUACAACGAAUACAUACAGCUGACAGAGAAAAAUGGAAGGGAAGGGAAAGAUUCAGUAAAAAAAACGAUUGUUAAUUUGCCUGAAAGAAGAAAUAAAAGAAAUUCUCUUCCCGGAGAAAUUCGUGACACAUUCCACGGCAAGUGAGACCGAUCCUUUGUUGAUCCAAGAUACGUAAUAAAGUGUAAGAACGUGGAGAUGUGUUACCUGCUUAUCUUCCGUUCCUAACACACGUUUAACACAAUGAAAGGCAUAAAACAAAUCUAAAAUAUUUCGAAAAUACAAUAGAUACUGUCUUCUUUCUUAAGUAUUUUUAAUUAUAUCUUGUCACUUCAAUUUUCUUUUCUCGCAUUGUAUUUUUACGUACAGACGCACGUUCCUUUUUCCGUCGAGGUCAAAGUUCGUUUUUGCCUCGGUCUGCAUGUUGAAACGUUUCUUCUCCACAUGCGAUCGUAUCA